rnacentral:rRNA from 1 species
GACGAACGCUGGCGGCGUGCUUAACACAUGCGAGUCGAACGAUGAAGCUAGAGCUUGCUCUGGUGAAUUAGUGGCGAACGGGUGAGUAACACGUGAGUAACCUGCCCCGAACUCUGGGAUAACUGCUGGAAACGGCAGCUAAUACUGGAUACGACCUACGAAGGCAUCUUCUGUAGGUUGAAAGAAUUUCGGUUCGGGAAGGACUCGCGGCCUAUCAGCUUGUUGGUGAGGUAAUGGCUCACCAAGGCGACGACGGGUAGCCGGCCUGAGAGGGUGACCGGCCACACUGGGACUGAGACACGGCCCAGACUCCUACGGGAGGCAGCAGUGGGGAAUAUUGCACAAUGGGCGCAAGCCUGAUGCAGCAACGCCGCGUGAGGGAUGACGGCCUUCGGGUUGUAAACCUCUUUUAGUAGGGAAGAAGCGAAAGUGACGGUACCUGCAGAAAAAGCACCGGCUAACUACGUGCCAGCCGCCGCAGUAA